rnacentral:sRNA from 1 species
CACUUGGUUCACUUAACCGCUCCUGAAGACUUCAGAACCGGCAUCAAUCUUUGGUCAGAUAAUCUCAUUAUUUUUUCCUGUCAAGUAAUUGUAUACUAUUACUAAUGGUUAAUCAACUAAAGAUUGAACUGAGGGAUUAAUGGAGCAAACUUCAGAUGAAGUUACUCCUCCAAAAAUUGGUGUAUGCCGUUUAGCGUGGAGAACACACGGUAUUCUUUAGUAAAAGGCGAAAGAAUAGUUCGCUUUGUAUUCACCACACGGCUCCAU